rnacentral:lncRNA from 1 species
UCAUACCAAAGACUGUAAAAAUGGGACCUGACGUGUCUCUGCUCGGCAUUAAUGAGAUAGAUUCAUGGAAGAAGCAUGUGUUUAGGGUGUGCCACAGUCCGUGGACCCAGAACCCUUCAUCCAUAACCCAUCCUUCCUGCUCCCCCUGUGCUCUGCUAGACUUCCGGGUCCAGCCCCAGAGCAACCCUGCAAGGCCACUCACCGCCCUGUGUAGGAGGAAUGAUGUUCCUUGGCCCUCAGCCCCCCUGCGCCUCCCCCCUCCAGCAGUACCGCACUGCAGCUACACUCCACAACAGGGUUCUCACUGCUUAGAUGCAUGAAAGUCAAAGAGGUAGCUACUGCUGCACAGGCACAUGACUGUCCAGGGACUACGGACAUGAGACUGAAACCACCUUGGGCAAGCAGCAGAAACAGAGCCCCACUCUAAUCUUCAUCUGUCCUCCUACAGUUUCAUUAUAUCUAUUUUACAGAAGAUCCUCUGUACUGUCAGCUUUGGCAUCUAUUGGUUGCCUGUUUAAAUACAUUGUACAUGGUUAAAUGGUCACAAAUGUCAACAUUACUCAAUUGGAUAAAAUAAAAAAAACAUAUAAAAAAAUUCAAAAAUUAAAUAGGCAGG